rnacentral:lncRNA from 1 species
GUCACGCCCCGGGACCGGCGGAGGCCCUCCCGGUAGCGUGCCCAGACCCGCCAUAUGUCAACACAUAUAAGGCGUCUACAACAAAAGCGGAAGUAAAAGCAAGAAUAGAGCAAACGACGAGGUGAAAUAACUAUCAACUAAUGAUAUCAGAGCAAGUAAAGCUAGACAAUAAAGAAAUCAUAAGUAGUACAAUAUCUGUCUCAAAAGUACAAAAACGGUGGUCUCUAAUACACUGGUAGAACUCUCAACCUCUCCAAAAUAAAACACAACGAGAGGUAGACCACCUAGCGAAUCGUCCUCAAAGGAAGCUAGCUCGAAGCAACUCCCUUCCCGCGGUCCCUAGCCUCGCCCUGAGUGGAAGGCUCUGAAAACAUCGAGAAAAAGAGGGCGUGAGAACUAUAAGCUAUAGUUCCCAGUGGGCAAUUACUGACCUCAGCUCCUGCUCCACUAGGCCCCAAAAACAAAGGUAAGCAACGAUAAUAAUAAUAAGCAAUAAGGAGCAUGUAAAUAAACUGCUGAAAGAAAGCGUGAUGUAAACCAAAAUGUACAUCUAUUCUAUCCUUACAAUUACGUCCAAUGGCACUAGUCUAAUGUCAAUAACCCUUAUCAAUGCAUGAUGCAUAAGCUCUAUCAUGGCAACCAAGUAUGCUCUAAUGCAACAAGAGACUAUCAAAUAUACUACAUGUCUCAACACUAUGCUAAAAAAAUAUAUAAAUGUAAUCCAACUACUAAACCUAUCUAGUAGUGAUUAACCAAUCUCGACCCCGUAUCGAUUUCCAUUUCCAAUCAAGGACCUACCAAAGGUAGUCCAGCUUGUGCCGCCUAAGUGCCUGUGGUAGCCCGACAUUCCUACUCUUGGAAUGUGUCUGUCCCACUCGACCCCGUAGGCUUCUCAAUACCGCACGAGCGAACAUAGGUCGCAUAGGCUAACUCCGGAGUGCCGGCUUGUAGGGAGCGACCCUCACAAGCAUGUGCGAAUGAGCACAAAUGGCAAGCAAGCAAAGUCCAAGUCUAAAGUAUCCAAUCCUCAUGUCUCUAACAUGGUAUAGUCACUAGUAUCCCAAAGAUCUAGUUUAUGUCACAAUGUGAAGGUUCAACCUUUGCUACGCCUAGUGCCCUUUGAUGACACUUAGGCAAUCUGAUGUUCAAUAUGUAUUUCAAAUCCCUUGAUGGCCCUAUCCAUUAGGUUCACACGCGUCCCGAGCUCAAUGCCGCUUGAUGACAUUAGCUCUCUAAUUCACAUAGCUUCUAAAUGACAAUCUUGUCAAUUUUCAUGUCACAAGUAAUUGUAGGUUUACAUGCAUGAAUCCGAACUCAUUUAUACUAUAGAAGUAGGAUACCGCGUCUCAUAUAGAAUGCUAAAUGCAACCAUGGCCUAAUAAGCUACUCUCUACUACAUAGAGGUCCAAAAUUUCAUUAUAUAUAACGUAGGCCUUUUAAGCAUUCUAAAAUUCACAAUAAAUUCGUAUAACAAGAAUAUGCAUGCUUUUUCAUUUAACAACACUUAAUUAAACACACAUGAGAAUUUCUCAUUGUGUGGCUAGGUCAAACCCACCGAACCGUCGCGUAGGGUCUCGAUUCGCCGAACGAAGUUGUCCACGAGCCUCAAGAUACCCUAAAAGUGGUCAGUGAAGAGAUACGGGAGCAUCACGACCAACCGUAAGAUCAAACAUUAACCUAGGAGCAAAAAGGGCCAAAAUUUACCUCAAGAGUAGAAAUCUCUCCCAAAGCUCCAAAAGAGAGCUAGAACCCUUCCAAUCCAAGCCCUAGGAAGGUUCUAAACCAAUCAAUUUAGCCCCAAAAGCCCUAGAUCAAAAAUGCCCAAAAUUAAACCCUAAAUCUCAUUCUAGGGUUAAAACAAGCAAAAAGCUCCAAAACUAAGAUCUAGAGGGAGGAACCUUGCCACAUACCUCUAGGAUGCUCCAAUCCAAGCUCAAAAUCUUCUAGGGUUGAAGUUGGUCCACCACUAAGCUCUACAAGCAAGCUCCAAGCCUUGCCAAGGUGGGAAAGAGAGAAAGGGGUUGAGCUCCAAGCUCCCUCAAACUAGCUUCUCUUCUUCUUCUCCUCCUUCUUCUUCUUCUCCUUCUUCUUCUUCUCUCUCUAGAAGGUGUAGGGUGGUGAGAAAUGAGGAGGGAAGGGAGUGAAAUGGCUAAUAAGCCCAUCUAGAGUAACAAAAUCCAACCAGGCCCCUCAAAAACCCAAUAUUACAUCAGCCCGAACUGGGCAGUUUUCGCCCAGAGGGACCGGUCUCUCCCCAGCUGGGACCGGUCUCUCGCUGCGAACCCGAAAACCAGCGUUCGGGAACCGGUCUCUCCCUGCGCGGGACCGGUCUCUCACUGCGAAGACGCGUUCGGGAACCGGUCUCGCCUGCCAGGGACCGGUUGCCUCAGGCUGCCUCAAUACUGCUCACUGGGGGAACCGGUCUCUCAUUCCAGGGACCGGUCCCCGAGAGUAAAAACUCUCAGGACUGUCCAGAAUUCCAGUUUUCGAACGUUUCGGGUCGGGGAACAUUUUACAACCCUCCACCAAGUGUGGAAAAGCCAGAAAUACAUCCAAACACUCGAACCUCGCAAUUUGCAAAGGUCCAGUGUGUU